AAGUCGUAACAAGGUUUCCGUAGGUGAACCUGCGGAAGGAUCAUUAACACGUAUCCACGUAUCAACCAACUGUGCACUUGUUUUCAACUCUCCCUGCUCGCUACAUGAAUUGAAGAGAAUUUAGUAAUGUUGAGGAGUCUCUCGGGACUCAGCUAUCUUCUCUAACUUGACUUCGGUCAGACAAUUGUAGUACUGCGGUCAGGCAACCUUCUGCUUACAACCUUCUCUCAUCUGAAGGGAGUAGUGGAAUUAAACACACAUUUCACCCUAUUUUUGCUAGUUGACUUUUAUAUGUUGUCUUAUUCGAUACUUCGGUAUUGCGUAAUUCACACGUUUAUUAUUUGAACGUUAAAUUUACAACUCUUAGCAAUGGAUAUCUUGGUUCUC
rnacentral:misc_RNA from 1 species